AUUGGACUUUGCUUAGCCUCGGAUCUUCCACACACGUUUGUGCCUCUCUCUCUCUCUCUCUCUCUCUCUAAAAACUCAAAGCUUUGUUUGCUCUUUGAAGUCUAAAAGCUGUGAACUCUGUCUCUCUCUUUCUUUCUGGUAUUCAAAGGAGAAAGAAUAUAAGAUAAAGAUUUGAAGGGUACACCUCCCUAUUCAUGGAUGAAUAUUCUGGAAAAAGAGCUGUAGAUGGGAUUGUGGUCUCUAGAAAGGGAUCUGGUCUUGCGUUGAGAGAGAAUGCCAACAAUAGAGAACAUAAUUCUCAAUUCUGCAACCGAAUUGGUUGCAAUGGCAGACCGAAUUCUGCAAGAGGUGUUCAAUAUGGCUGUUCAGAUAAGGCCAAACCUUCAAGGCCUUUACGCUCUUCUUCAAGUGGCAAGGAAAUAAUUGGAAGUUCCUCCAAGACUUCCUCUGUGAUCAGCAAGGGAAGAAAAUCUAUCACAGAGCCUUCAAAGAAGUUAUCAUCUCAGUUAGAAACUGACUCAUCUGAAACUAGUAGUGUUCAGGAUGAACCUGAGGUUUCAGAACUCACUGCCCCACCUGGAAAGAUUCAGAGAGGGUCGGAAAAAGUGGAGUCUAGCUGUGUCACAUUAAUGGAAGAGGGAAGCUCUAGUGUAGCAUCAGAUACAAGAUCUCGAAGGAAUCUUCAUCAGGGAUCCAGAUUGCGCAACCAAGAUAAUCUAGUGGCUUCAUCCGUGUCUUUGGGAUCUAAGAGCACUGUCCAGGCAACACGUGCUGGUGCAAACAGGUAUGGUUUAAGAAAUCUCAGAUGUAAUUCAAUAUCAGAUGUCAUCCCAUCAGGUUGCUCAUCCUCAGAAUCAAGUUUCAGUAAAAGGAAGGAUAUGGUAAAUAGGAGAAAUUCUGAAGGAGAAAGUAGCUCUGCUGCCAGAGGAAAGAAGAUGAGUGGGUCUUUGUUGGAAGGACGGAGCUCCAAUUCUAGCCCCAGCAUAUCCAUUUCUGAUUCAAGACGUGCUAGAAAUAUUCCUUCUCACAGGGAUAAUAGUGUACCAUCAGUUAGGAAUAAGAGACCAGUUAAUAGUCACACCAGGGCAAGGCUCUCUAAUCAAGGACAUAUGAACAGUCUGUCACCAAAUGAGCCCUCUGUUGCAAUCCCACAAAUGCUUCAAACUGGCAUAUCUAGUGACAUGAAUGGUCCUAGUUCAUCACAUCAAUUAUCAUCUGAAAUUCCGUCAAAUCAUGCACUUUCUUACAGUCGGCCUGGCAGUAGCAGUGAGCGUUUGCACGGUAUUAGGCCAGCUAGUCCUGCAGAAGUGGGCAUUACUCGCUCUUUGAUGAAUCGGGACAGCAUCAGGCGCUACAAUGGAAUUGCAGAGGUAUUAAUGGCACUUGAGAGGAUCGAACAAGAUGAAGAUCUUACAUAUGAGCAAAUACUUGUUCUGGAGACCAACUUGUUUCUUAAUGGCCUAUAUGUCUAUGAUCAGCACAGAGACAUGAGACUGGACAUUGAUAACAUGUCAUAUGAGGAAUUAUUAGCCCUGGAAGAGAGGAUGGGAACUGUGAGCACAGCACUAACAGAAGAAACAUUGUCAGAAUGCCUGAAGAGGAGCAUUUAUGAGUCUACAGCUCCAGAGGAUGCAGCAGCAGGCUGCAUUGGGGAAAAGGAUGUUGGGAAAAAGGAUGAUGUCAAAUGUAGUAUAUGCCAGGUUUUUUUCUCUAUGAUACCUACUCCAUAACUGAUUUCAUUUGCUUUUAAUUAACAUUGGCAGAGUAGUUAGGUUUGGAUGCGGCUGAAGUCAAAUUCAAACCACUUGUGGUCAAGAACACUAACAUGGGAACACCUUAGUUUGUAAAUUCUUGAGCUAAAUCAAGCCAUUUGAGUAUUCUGGUUGCUGCUGGGAUUGGAAUAGGUUUCAGUUACUCUGUAGUGCCUGUUUGGCAUUGUUGUAGGGCUUAAUUUCUCAUCUGGAGCUUUUGUGAUAUAGAGCUUUAACUGAAAAGCUUUUUAAUGUUUUGAGUGUUUGGAAAAUUACAAUGAAUAUUGCUUUAAACUUCUAGGUUUAUAAAGCAUGAACAAUGAAUAUUAGAGCUUUUUCCUAAAAGCUAAGCUCUCCUUAAAAGCUGUUUUCUUUGGCAAAAAUUGCCAAAACAUUUCUCAAUUCCAGCUAAAAGAGCUUUAAUUCCCUUAAACACUUCUCAACCUUUCCAAAAGCAAAACCUGAGAUGUGCUGAGAAUGAAUUUUUAAGAGAACUUAGGUAUUGAAUUCAUCUAAUACCAAAAUCAAUAGAGGAUUCGUGACUAAAAAAAAUUACAAAUCCUUUGGGCCAAGAAAGAUGUCCAAGGUUCGAAUCCCCUCUCCCCCAUUGUUAUAAUUAUUGAAUUAUGAAAAAAAAAUUUACAUUCCCUUGGCAGCUUGUUACUCUUUUUUUUUCUUUUCUUGAAUAGACAGUUUGUUACUCUUUUUUUUUUCCUGGCCUAUUUUAAAGAGGGGGAAGGGUGGCACUGGGCUGUAAGCCCCAUUGACUAUACAGUUUGGUACUUGAUCAACUGACAAGCCAAUAUCUUGCUGAAGGAGGAGUAUGUUGUUGGAGAUGAACUGGGUAGAUUGCAGUGUGAGCACAAGUUUCAUGUGGACUGCAUAGAACAGUGGCUGGGGUUGAAGAAUUGGUGCCCCAUUUGCAAAGCAUCAGCAGCGCCCUCACCCUUGCCAUCACCUUUGUCACCCUCUUAGUUCAAUUGAUUAAAUCAGUUGCAGUCUUUAG